rnacentral:rRNA from 2 species
GGCACCAUGUGGGUGAGACGUGAUGGGGAUCCCGUAGGGGCGUAGGUGAGUGAUCCUGUACUGUCUAGAAAAGUUCCGGCGUGACGAAUACGGUCGCCCGUACCCGAAACCGACUCAGGUGAUCAGGUAGAGAAUACCGAGGCGUUCGAGAGAAUCGUGGUUAAGGAACUCGGCAAAAUGCCCCCGUAACUUCGGGAGAAGGGGGACCACCCUGGUGAGCAGGAUACGCUUCUGUGAGCUGGUGGUGGUCGCAGAGACCAGGGGGAAGCGACUGUUUACUAAAAACACAGGUCCGUGCGAAGACGGUAAGUCGAUGUAUACGGACUGACGCCUGCCAGGUGCUGGAAGGUUAAGAGGACCUGUUAGACCUUUGUGGUCGAAGCGGAGAAUUUAAGCCCCGGUAAACGGCGGUGGUAACUAUAACCAUCCUAAGGUAGCGAAAUUCCUUGUCGGGUAAGUUCCGACCUGCACGAAUGGAGCAACGACUUCCCCGCUGUCUCAACCGUGAAC